rnacentral:rRNA from 1 species
AACUUUCAACAACGGAUCUCUUGGUUCCAGCAUCGAUGAAGAACGCAGCGAAAUGCGAUAAGUAAUGUGAAUUGCANAAUUCAGUGAAUCAUCGAAUCUUUGAACGCACAUU